AAGUUAGCGGCGGACGGGUGAGUAACACGUGGGUAACCUGCCCAUAAGACUGGGAUAACUCCGGGAAACCGGGGCUAAUACCGGAUAACAUUUUGAACCGCAUGGUUCGAAAUUGAAAGGCGGCUUCGGCUGUCACUUAUGGAUGGACCCGCGUCGCAUUAGCUAGUUGGUGAGGUAACGGCUCACCAAGGCAACGAUGCGUAGCCGACCUGAGAGGGUGAUCGGCCACACUGGGACUGAGACACGGCCCAGACUCCUACGGGAGGCAGCAGUAGGGAAUCUUCCGCAAUGGACGAAAGUCUGACGGAGCAACGCCGCGUGAGUGAUGAAGGCUUUCGGGUCGUAAAACUCUGUUGUUAGGGAAGAACAAGUGCUAGUUGAAUAAGCUGGCACCUUGACGGUACCUAACCAGAAAGCCACGGCUAACUACGUGCCAGCAGCCGCGGUAAUACGUAGGUGGCAAGCGUUAUCCGGAAUUAUUGGGCGUAAAGCGCGCGCAGGUGGUUUCUUAAGUCUGAUGUGAAAGCCCACGGCUCAACCGUGGAGGGUCAUUGGAAACUGGGAGACUUGAGUGCAGAAGAGGAAAGUGGAAUUCCAUGUGUAGCGGUGAAAUGCGUAGAGAUAUGGAGGAACACCAGUGGCGAAGGCGACUUUCUGGUCUGU
rnacentral:rRNA from 1 species